rnacentral:rRNA from 1 species
AACACGUGAGUAACCUGCCCUUAACUCUGGGAUAAGCCUGGGAAACUGGGUCUAAUACUGGAUAUUGACUUUUCACCGCAUGGUGGGGGGUUGAAAGCUUUUGUGGUUUUGGAUGGACUCGCGGCCUAUCAGCUUGUUGGUGAGGUAAUGGCUCACCAAGGCGACGACGGGUAGCCGGCCUGAGAGGGUGACCGGCCACACUGGGACUGAGACACGGCCCAGACUCCUACGGGAGGCAGCAGUGGGGAAUAUUGCACAAUGGGCGAAAGCCUGAUGCAGCGACGCCGCGUGAGGGAUGACGGCCUUCGGGUUGUAAACCUCUUUCAGUAGGGAACAAGGCUACACGUUGUGUGGUUGAGGGUACCUGCAGAAGAAGCGCCGGCUAACUACGUGCCAGCAGCCGCGGUAAUACGUAGGGCGCAAGCGUUAUCCGGAAUUAUUGGGCGUAAAGAGCUCGUAGGCGGUUUGUCGCGUCUGCCGUGAAAGUCCGGGGCUCAACUCCGGAUCUGCGGUGGGUACGGGCAGACUAGAGUGAUGUAGGGGAGACUGGAAUUCCUGGUGUAGCGGUGAAAUGCGCAGAUAUCAGGAGGAACACCGAUGGCGAAGGCAGGUCUCUGGGCAUUAACUGACGCUGAGGAGCGAAAGCAUGGGGAGCGAACAGGAUUAGAUACCCUGGUAGUCCAUGCCGUAAACGUUGGGCACUAGGUGUGGGGGACAUUCCACGUUUUCCGCGCCGUAGCUAACGCAUUAAGUGCCCCGCCUGGGGAGUACGGCCGCAAGGCUAAAACUCAAAGGAAUUGACGGGGGCCCGCACAAGCGGCGGAGCAUGCGGAUUAAUUCGAUGCAACGCGAAGAACCUUACCAAGGCUUGACAUGAACUGGAAACACUUGGAAACAAGUGCCCCGCUUGCGGUCGGUUUACAGGUGGUGCAUGGUUGUCGUCAGCUCGUGUCGUGAGAUGUUGGGUUAAGUCCCGCAACGAGCGCAACCCUCGUUCUAUGUUGCCAGCACGUAAUGGUGGG